UUCAGAGGUCAGGCUCGCUGCGCUGACACGACAUGAAAGAUGAAUUAUAUUUAUUAACUGGUUAAAAAAAGAAGCUGAAUCCAUGUUGAGCACCAGGUGAAGUGAGUCUGUGGCAUCAAUCAUCAGAAUCAUUGUACUUUGGACAAAGCUCAGCCCUGAAAGUUA